UACUAGAGUAGCACUCGCAUAUCAAUAAGCGGAGGAAAAGAAACUAACAAGGAUUCCCCUAGUAACGGCGAGUGAAGCGGGAAGAGCUCAAAUUUGAAAUCUUAAAGGGUUUCCCUUUACGAAUUGUAGUUUAAAGAAGUGUUUUCUGUUGGAGUUUCGGUAAAAGUUCUUUGGAAUAGGACAUCAUAGAGGGUGAGAAUCCCGUAUUUGACCGUUACUUUCCAGCUGUGUGAUACACUUUCAAAGAGUCGGAUUGUUUGGGAAUGCAGUCCAAAAUGGGUGGUAAAUUUCAUCUAAAGCUAAAUAUUGGCGAGAGACCGAUAGCGAACAAGUACCGUGAGGGAAAGAUGAAAUGAACUUUGAAAAGAGAGUUAAACAGUACGUGAAAUUGUCAAAAGGGAAGCGUUUGACACCAGUGUUGUUUUCUCGAAAAUCAAUUAAAAAAGGCCGGAUUUUGUGUUGUAUUGACCUUAAAAGCUUUCUUCACUCUUUUCUUGUCUUUUUUAAUGCACUUUUCGUUUAACAAGUCAACAUCAGUUUCUUUUGUUGUAAAAGGGUCAUUGGAAGGUGGCUUUCUUUUCGGAGAAAGUGUUUAUAGCCUUUGAUCUCCUGCAAUCGGAGAGACUGAGGUCUGCAGCGUAGAUCCUUUUUGGGAUUAGAUACAUUUGUGCUAAGUUAUAGCUUUUUCAUAGACAACUUGUUGACUAUAUUUAGUCUUGUAGGCUUACUCGCUGACGCUAUUUUACCUACGCUUAGGAUGUUGAUAGUCACAGCGUGUAC
rnacentral:rRNA from 1 species